GCUCUCCCNUAUGGUCGACCUGCAGGCGGCCGCGAAUUCACUAGUGAUUAGAGUUUGAUCCUGGCUCAGGACGAACGCUGGCGGCGCGCCUAACACAUGCAAGUCGAACGGACACAUCCGACGGAAUAGCUUGCUAGGAAGAUGGAUGUUGUUAGUGGCGGACGGGUGAGUAACACGUGAGCAACCUGCCUCGGAGUGGGGGACAACAGUUGGAAACGACUGCUAAUACCGCACACGGUGGUCGGGGGACAUCCCCUGGCCAAGAAAGGAUUAUAUCCGCUCUGAGAUGGGCUCGCGUCUGAUUAGCUAGUUGGCGGGGUAACGGCCCACCAAGGCAACGAUCAGUAGCCGGACUGAGAGGUUGAACGGCCACAUUGGGACUGAGACACGGCCCAGACUCCUACGGGAGGCAGCAGUGGGGAAUAUUGCACAAUGGGGGGAACCCUGAUGCAGCGACGCCGCGUGAGGGAAGAAGGUUUUCGGAUUGUAAACCUCUGUCUUGUGGGACGAUAAUGACGGUACCACAGGAGGAAGCCAUGGCUAACUACGUGCCAGCAGCCGCGGUAAUACGUAGAUGGCGAGCGUUGUCCGGAAUUACUGGGUGUAAAGGGAGUGUAGGCGGGAUCAUAAGUUGCGUGUGAAAUGCAGGGGCUCAACCCCUGAACUGCGCGCAAAACUGUGGUUCUUGAGUGAAGUAGAGGCAGGCGGAAUUCCCGGUGUAGCGGUGGAAUGCGUAGAUAUCGGGAGGAACACCAGUGGCGAANGCGGCCUGCUGNGCUUUUACUGACGCUGANGCUCGAAAGCAUGGGGAGCAAACAGGANUAGAUACCCUGGUAGUCCAUGCCGUAAACGAUGAUUACUAGGUGUGGGGGGGAUAACCCCCUCCGUGCCGGNNUUAACACAAUAAGUAAUCCACCUGGGGAGUACGACCGCAANGGUUGAAACUCAAAGGAANUNGACGGGGGCCCGCACAAGCAGUGGNNU
rnacentral:rRNA from 1 species